AAUACCGUAAUUUCCGGCCUGUAAGCCCCGACUUUUUUCACACGCUUUCAACCCUGCGGCUUAUGCAGUGAUGUGGCUAAUUUGUGCAUUUAUUUUCGCGGCCGCAAGGGGGCACUCGAGCUGAAAAGCUGCGGCGUAUGUGUGUACCAAAUGGUAUUUCCUGAACAAAUGUACUGGGUGAGGCUUAUAAACAGGUGCGCUCUGCAGGCCGAAAAUUACGGUACUGGCGAAAGAGCAAAAAUGGAGGGCUUCAGAAUGGUACGUCGUCUGCCUCAAUUUGAUCCAGAAAAACAAAACAAUUACGCCGAUAAUAUGAGACGAAAUCAACGUUACCUAACGACUGCCCCGCGAUGACCCUGCUGUUCUCGCCCGCCACGGCCGCCCGGGCGUUCCUCUCGCUGGCAUACUGGA